GCAGGUAGCAAGUAUCAGGUUACUCUUUUGGCAGGAGAAAAAUACUGUCCUUUGUUGAGAGAAGCCAUAUUUUAACAUGGAGGCUGCUAUUCCAUGUGGCAAAUCAUCUUAAGCGUCCAACUAAAAUGCAGCCUGUUAUUUGGAGUCUACAGAGAAGCAAACCCCAAGGUGGGGUUAGACCCACAAGAGAUUUCUUCAGGAGGGAGCAAGAAGAGGCAACAGACUAGGAUACAGAUCUGCCAUACGUAGGAUGAGGAAGGGAAGAAAACAGGACUGGAUAAAAAGAGUCAGACUGCAGCACAGUUCCGCAAUAGGUUCUGCCAGGGCAGUGGGGAGUCCCCAAGCCAGCUUUAUGUUGGAG
rnacentral:lncRNA from 1 species